AAUUGCAAUAAUAUAAAUAUUAGGAGGUAGUAAUUAGUAGUUAGUAACAAUAAGCAAAUGUAUUAACAACUUAAUGUAAAGACAUGGUUUCAUCUAUGCAUCAAAUGACCCAAAUAUGAUUAAAAUAGAGGUAAUCUAUCAAUGCCUCAAAGUAUCAUGAAUGAUCUAUUGAUCAACCAUAGAUAGGUUUGAAAUAUUGAAGAUUUAAUCAACUC
rnacentral:lncRNA from 1 species